rnacentral:rRNA from 1 species
UACAGAGGGUGCGAGCGUUAAUCGGAAUUACUGGGCGUAAAGCGCGCGUAGGCGGUUUUGUAAGUCGGGUGUGAAAUCCCCAGGCUCAACCUGGGAACUGCAUUCGAGGCUGCAUAGCUAGAGUAUGGGAGAGGGAAGUGGAAUUUCAGGUGUAGCGGUGAAAUGCGUAGAUAUCUGAAGGAACAUCAGUGGCGAAAGCGACUUCCUGGACCAAUACUGACGCUGAGGAGCGAAAGCCAGGGGAGCAAACGGG